GACGAACGCUGGCGGCGUGCUUAACACAUGCAAGUCGAACGGAAAGGCCCUGCUUUUGUGGGGUGCUCGAGUGGCGAACGGGUGAGUAACACGUGAGUAACCUGCCCUUGACUUUGGGAUAACUUCAGGAAACUGGGGCUAAUACCGGAUAGGAGCUCCUGCUGCAUGGUGGGGGUUGGAAAGUUUCGGCGGUUGGGGAUGGACUUACGGCUUAUCAGCUUGUUGGUGGGGUGAUGGCUUACCCAGGCGUUGACGGGUAGCCGGUCUGAGAGGGUGACCGGCCACACGGGAACGGAGACAGCGAACAGGGGACUAAGAUACGGCGCAGUGGGGAACGUGGGACAGCAGGCGGGAGUAUGGUCCAGUCGUGGGAAGCGUGUGACAGAGGUGCCGCGAGCGGGAAGCAGGCUAUGGGGUGGUGAAGGGCAGUCAGUUAAGACCAUGCGGGAUUGACGGUAACGAGAAAAGAAGCACCGGCUAACUUCGUG
rnacentral:rRNA from 1 species